rnacentral:rRNA from 1 species
UACGAAGGGGGCUAGCGUUGCUCGGAAUUACUGGGCGUAAAGCGCACGUAGGCGGCUUCUUAAGUCGGUGGUGAAAUCCUGGAGCUCAACUCCAGAACUGCCUUCGAUACUGGGAGCUCGAGUCCGGGAGAGGUGAGUGGAACUGCGAGUGUAGAGGUGAAAUUCGUAGAUAUUCGCAAGAACACCAGUGGCGAAGGCGGCUCACUGGCCCGGUACUGACGCUGAGGUGCGGAAAGCGUGGGGAGCAAACAGGG